UUGCUUCUUUUGGCAGCACAUAUAUCAAAAUGAAAACGAUACAGGGAUUAGCAUGGUCCCUGUGCAAGGAUGACAUGCAAAUUUGUGAAGUGUUCCAUCCUCUU
ensembl:snRNA U6 U6 spliceosomal RNA